GAUGAACGCUGGCGGCGUGCCUAAUACAUGCAAGUCGAGCGAAUGGAUUAAGAGCUUGCUCUUAUGAAGUUAGCGGCGGACGGGUGAGUAACACGUGGGUAACCUGCCCAUAAGACUGGGAUAACUCCGGGAAACCGGGGCUAAUACCGGAUAACAUUUUGAACCGCAUGGUUCGAAAUUGAAAGGCGGCUUCGGCUGUCACUUAUGGAUGGACCCGCGUCGCAUUAGCUAGUUGGUGAGGUAACGGCUCACCAAGGCAACGGUGCGUAGCCGACCUGAGAGGGUGAUCGGCAACACUGGGACUGAGACACGGCCCAGACUCCUACGGGAGGUAGCAGUAGGGAAUCUUCCGCAAUGGACGAAAGUCUGACGGAGCAACGCCGCGUGAGUGAUGAAGGCUUUCGGGUCGUAAAACUCUGUUGUUAGGGAAGAACAAGUGCUAGUUGAAUAAGCUGGCACCUUGACGGUACCUAACCAGAAAGCCACGGCUAACUACGUGCCAGCCGCCGCAGUAA
rnacentral:rRNA from 1 species